rnacentral:rRNA from 1 species
AGCACUGUGAGAGAGCUUUGCGUCCCAUUAGCUAGUUGGAGAGGUAACAGCUCACCAAGGCGAUGAUGGGUAGCCGGCCUGAGAGGGUGAACGGCCACAAGGGGACUGAGACACGGCCCUUACUCCUACGGGAGGCAGCAGUGGGGAAUAUUGGACAAUGGACCGAAAGUCUGAUCCAGCAAUUCUGUGUGCACGAUGAAGUUUUUCGGAAUGUAAAGUGCUUUCAGUUGGGAAGAAAGAAAUGACGGUACCAACAGAAGAAGUGACGGCUAAAUACGUGCCAGCAGCCGCGGUAAUACGUAUGUCACGAGCGUUAUCCGGAUUUAUUGGGCGUAAAGCGCGUCUAGGUGGUUAUGUAAGUCUGAUGUGAAAAUGCAGGGCUCAACUCUGUAUUGCGUUGGAAACUGUAUAACUAGAGUACUGGAGAGGUAAGCGGAACUACAAGUGUAGAGGUGAAAUUCGUAGAUAUUUGUAGGAAUGCCGAUGGGGAAGCCAGCUUACUGGACA